UAUAGCUAUACUAUCCUGAACACACCCAAUCUCACCUGAUCUCAGAAUCUAAGGAGGGUCAGGCCUGGUGAGUACUUGGAUGGGUGAUAACAAAACAAGAAAAACUUAAAA
rnacentral:rRNA from 1 species